CAGUCGCCACGGGAAUACGGAGGGUGCAAGCGUUAAUCGGAAUUACUGGGCGUAAAGCGCACGCAGGCGGUCUGACAAGUCAGAUGUGAAAUCCCCGGGCUUAACCUGGGAACUGCAUUUGAAACUGUCAGGCUGGAGUCUUGUAGAGGGGGGUGGAAUUCCAGGUGUAGCGGUGAAAUGCGUAGAGAUCUGGAGGAAUACCGGUGGCGAAGGCGGCCCCCUGGACAAAGACUGACGCUCAGGUGCGAAAGCGUGGGGAGCAAACAGGAUUAGAUACCCGAUAGUCCCUGUCUCUUAUACA
rnacentral:rRNA from 1 species